rnacentral:rRNA from 1 species
GACGAACGCUGGCGGCGUGCCUAAUACAUGCAAGUCGAACGCAGUGGGGACGGGUGAGUAACACGUGGGUAACCUCCCAUCAGAGGGGAUAACACUUGGAAACAGGUGCUAAACCGAUACUGAUGGAUGGACCCGCGGUGCAUUAGCUAGUUGGUGAGGUAACGGCUCACCAAGGCCACGAUGCAUAGCCGACCUGGGAGGGGGAUGGUCCACACGGGAACUGAGACAGGGCCCAGACUCCUACGGGAGGCAGCAUGGGGGAAUCUUCGGCAAUGGACGAAAGUCUGAGCGAGCAACGCCGCGGGGGGGAAGAAGGUUUCCGGAUCGUAAAACUCUGUUGUUAGAGAAGCGGUAUCUAACCAGAAAGCCACGGCUAACUACGUGCCAGCAGCCGCGGUAAUUC